rnacentral:rRNA from 1 species
GAUGAACGCUGGCGGCGUGCCUAAUACAUGCAAGUCGAGCGAACAGACGAGGAGCUUGCUCCUCUGACGUUAGCGGCGGACGGGUGAGUAACACGUGGAUAACCUACCUAUCAGACUGGGAUCACUUCGGGAAACCGGAGCUAAUACCGGAUAAUAUAUUGAACCGCAUGGUUCAAUAGUGAAAGACGGUUUUGCUGUCACUUAUAGAUGGAUCCGCGCCGCAUUAGCUAGUUGGUAAGGUAACGGCUUACCAAGGCAACGAUGCGUAGCCGACCUGAGAGGGUGAUCGGCCACACUGGAACUGAGACACGGUCCAGACUCCUACGGGAGGCAGCAGUAGGGAAUCUUCCGCAAUGGGCGAAAGCCUGACGGAGCAACGCCGCGUGAGUGAUGAAGGUCUUCGGAUCGUAAAACUCUGUUAUUAGGGAAGAACAAAUGUGUAAGUAACUAUGCACGUCUUGACGGUACCUAAUCAGAAAGCCGCGGCUAACUACGUG